rnacentral:tRNA from 1 species
UGUUCUGUGGCUUAGUUGGUUAGAGCACCGGUCUAGCGAGUAUGGAGACGUAGGUUCGAAUUCUGCCAGAACGC